rnacentral:rRNA from 1 species
AGAGUUUGAUCAUGGCUCAGAAUCAACGCUGGCGGCGUGCCUAACACAUGCAAGUCGAACGCGAAAGUUCCGCAAGGAAUUAGUAGAGUGGCAAACGGGUGAGUAACACGUGGGUGACCUGCCUUCGAGUGGGGGAUAACGUCCCGAAAGGGACGCUAAUACCGCAUAACAUCCUGCCUUUUAAGAGGUGGAGAUCAAAGCCGGGGACCGCAAGGCCUGGCGCUGGAAGAGGGGCCCGCGUCCGAUUAGCUAGUUGGUGGGGUAACGGCUCACCAAGGCGACGAUCGGUAGCCGGCCUAAGAGGGCGGACGGCCACACUGGGACUGAGACACGGCCCAGACUCCUACGGGAGGCAGCAGUGGGGAAUUGUUCGCAAUGGGCGAAAGCCUGACGACGCAACGCCGCGUGGAGGAUGAAGACCUUCGGGUCGUAAACUCCUUUCGAUCGAGACGAAUGGCCUUUGGGUUAAUAGCCUGGAGGAAUGACGGUACCGAGAGAAG